rnacentral:rRNA from 1 species
GAUGAACGCUAGCGAUAGGCUUAACACAUGCAAGUCGAGGGACCGGCGCACGGGUGCGUAACGCGUAUGCAACUUGCCUCACAGAGGGGGAUAACUCGUCGAAAGACGGACUAAUACCGCGUACUGUGAGAUAGGCAUGCGUCCCAUUAGCUAGUUGGUAAGGUAACGGCUCACCAAGGCAACGAUGGGUAGGGGAACUGAGAGGUUGAACCCCCACAAUUGUGCUGAGACACGGACUAGACUCCUACGUAGGGCAGGAGAGAGGAAUAUUGGGGAAUGGGCGAGGGCCUGAACCAGCCAAGUCGCGGGAAGGAUGACUGGCUAUGGAUUGUAAUCUUCUGGUGUAGGAGAAUAUGUACCCUACGAAUAAGCAUCGGCUAACUCCGUGCCAGCAGCCGCGGUAAUUC